GGCCAUCCAGAUAGAGUUAUCAUAAUCCAGAGAUACAGACCAACAGGUGAGAUCUACCUGACAUACACUGACUUGUCAUUCCCUUAGCCAAAGUAGCUAUGGACCUACAUCUAUAUCUAAACAUCCAGCACAAUAAUACUCAGCCUCAUUCUCCCCUCUCUACAUCAUUUUUUUUUUUUUGUCAAGCGACCGCUGUGUACCUUUUCUCGCACACGAGACCAGAGCUUAUCGGACGAAAUUGUAUUCUCAAAAAGUCAAUCUGGCCUCGUGACUUAUUAGAGGAUAUUUUCUACCUCCAUGUCAAAAAAAAAAAAAAGAAGAAGAGAAAAGAAGAGAAAAAAAAAAUAAAUAAAAUAUAUAAAAAAUUACAAUAAAUCUAGUUCUAGGCUCUUGCACCCCUGGUUCAGAUAAUCGAUGAGAGCUUCCCACGAGCUGUUUUGAGCUAUAUUGUCAGUAUUCUUGAAUAUAUUUAUAUUGAAUCUGAAUCUGAAUCUACGGAGAGUCUUGCAAAUGUAACUAGAACAUUUUAUUUGUUGACACACUAAUGCCGUCCAUGCGGAAAAGGCAGUGCCCAAAAUCCCAAAAAAGAAAAACAAAAACAAAAAAAAUUCAAAACAGUUUAUCCUCAAACUCCAACCGGGGUGAGGGAAGGUUUCAGUGAAAUGAACCAAAUAUGUUAGGCUUUCCUGACACAUUCUAGGCGCUUCUCCUGCAGGCCGACCAACACCCGGGCAAGCCUGCCUAUCAAACAAAAGAAAUAGCUAACUAUCUAGACAAUCUACUUACAUGUAGCAGUAUCGAAUUUUCAAAAGAGCCCAAGUAUCUAAUUAAUUAAAUCUUGCUCCAAAGGAUAUUAAGAUAGGCCAAAAAGACAAACAAACUCCGGUUCAUCCCUUAAGUAUAAAUAAUAUAUGUUGCCAAAAGUAGAAAAAAUCAACUGCUAGAUUUCCCGCUCCUAAGUUGAAAGUAAAAGAAAUAGCAAACUGAAAAUGGCCUAGCAUAGAAAAACAACGUAUCGUCAUGAGAAAUAAUUAGGUAUGCCCGACAGAAGGUAGUCUGUUAGCCUGUUCUGUUCCGAUGCCAAUGAGGUUCCGAUCACCCGAAAAAUCCUGUUGUCCCCUUCGCAAUGCCUAUCAGCGACAACACGGUGACGUCAAUGAAUCAGUUGGAGUGGGGAUCUAGACAGAUCAGUCAGAUCAGUCCCAUAAAUGUUCUGGGGACACAUGUAUGGGCAGAAAGGUCUAGGGUGGGGAUGUGAUAGGAGGGCUUGCGGAUGUUGUAGUGGUUUGAUCACGACAGCCCCAGAACCAUCCAGGAGUCGAACAAGGAGUGCUGGUCGAUGUCGUGCUUGGAGCAGGGAAGGUCGUGGUACUCGUUGGAUCAUUACACCCGAACCAGCCAGGGCUUUCGCAAGUUGAAGUCGUGGAAGCAGUAGUCGUUGGAGGGGAGGUCGGAGUAAUCGUAGGCGCGGGAGACGCAGUAGGUACUGUACUUGUUGUGGUAGGAUCCUUGCAGCCGAACCACCCGGGAGUUUUGCAGGUCGAUGUAGACGUUGUCGACGUUGUCGCUGUUGUAGUAGGAGUCGUGGUUGGAUCCAAACAUCCCCACCACCCGGGAGUCUUGCAAGUUGACGUUCUCGUUCUGGUUGAAGUGCUCGUAGUGGUGGUAGUGGGCGUAGGUGUCGUUUCGUUGCUUUCGAAAAACUUCCAGUUGUUACAGUCCACGCAUUCUGUGAACGGGGCACAUGUAGGCACGUCAUCGUAUCUCUCAAUAACAUCUGUAAUUACUUCAUGGAUUCGGUGUGUCCCGAUUCCAACUCUCCAACCGAAAUCUUCCACUGUGUCGUAAGUGCACAAUUGGCCAGUAUGACAAGAGGACUCCAUAGCAUAGCCGCCAAGUGUACAUACAGACGUUGCGCCGUUACACGUUCCCAUAUAAAUGGGAUCGGCAGUGUGGCCAAAAUGGUAGGCACCAGUGUAAUUCCUUGCCUGGGGUGAAGAUGGAUCGGUUCCAGGAGGCGGAGGCAGUCCAAGGCGUGAAGCAGGUAGUGCUUCUGGCACAGCUUCAAACGUGACCACGGGCAAUCCGUAUGUCAUCCCUAGC
rnacentral:sRNA from 1 species